rnacentral:sRNA from 1 species
GCUGGACAUGGUGGCGCAUGCCUGUAAUCUCAGCAGUUUGGGAGGCUGAGGCAGGAGGAUCACAAGUUCAAAGCCAGCUUCAGCAAUGGCGAGGCGAUAAGCAAUUCAGUGAGACCCUGACUCUA